rnacentral:tRNA from 1 species
GUCUAUAUAGUUUAAAAAAAACAUUAGUUUUGUAAACUAAAAUUGUGCAUCUAGAGACU